CUUUCAAGUAAUACAAAGCCUUCUUCAUAAAAUCUCUCUUGUCUUUCUUACAAUCUAGCCCUUAGCGAUCUAGUCUUAAAGGCUUACUUGAGCUUGCAAGAUCGUGAAAGAUUCGUGAAUGGUUAACACUCAUUCAGAACGGACAUUUCUUUUCCCAAAAGACAACAUACAUGUUAAUAACAUAUGAGACUGUUUUGUAUAGUGACAGGAUCAAAAUAUUGUUUGGCAGCUACCACUUAUCAACUUUGUACGUACGUAUGUCCAGCUUGUUCGUAGCUUACUCAUCCUUGGCUGAAAACUAUUUGUUGGUAUUAGAGAAAGGAGAAUUAUACGAGAAAUGAAUAAAUGCUUGUAGAAAUAAAUAUUUUAAGUUGAAAAGAGGAAUUAUGUAAGUCUAGUUGAUUCCUUAUGUCGUACAAAUAAACCUGAAAUGCUUGAUUCGAACUAUGUUAUAUUGCAUCAUUCAUUGAUUAAGGGGCUAUUACGUAAUA